UACAGAGGGUGCAAACGUUGUUCGGAAUUACUGGGCGUAAAGCGCACGUAGGCGGCUUUGUAAGUUAGAGGUGAAAGCCCGGAGCUCAACUCCGGAAUUGCCUUUAAGACUGCAUCGCUAGAAUUGUGGAGAGGUGAGUGGAAUUCCGAGUGUAGAGGUGAAAUUCGUAGAUAUUCGGAAGAACACCAGUGGCGAAGGCGACUCACUGGACAAAUAUUGACGCUGAGGUGCGAAAGCGUGGGGAGCAAACAGG
rnacentral:rRNA from 1 species